rnacentral:lncRNA from 1 species
AUUUUAGGAAGGAGUAAGAUUUCAUAUAUAUAUGUAGACAAAAGUGUGAAAAAUACAAUCUGCUUUAUACUAUCUUCUGUUAUUUGAAACAGAUAUUCAAAUAAAAUGAUUGCUGCAAGCAUGUCAAAAAAAAAAAGGUGCAAACCUUAAAAUAUUGCCUGAGAAUCAAAUUUCAUGAGAGGGCAAUGUGUGAGCUUUCUUGGAUUUUUGUCAUAAUUCAGAAAGGAAAUAAA